rnacentral:rRNA from 1 species
AACCCUAAUCAAUAGAUUUACGGCGUAAAACGUGUUUAAGAACUCAAACAACUAAAGUCAAACUCUAGCUACGCUGUAAAAAGCCCCAGCUACUGUAAGACCCACUACGAAAGUGACUUUAAACUGACUGACUACACGACAGCUGGGGCCCAAACUGGGAUUAGAUACCCCACUAUGCCCAGCCCUAAACCUAAAGGAUUCCUAUAACAAAAUCCUUCGCCAGAGUACUACUAGCCACAGCUUAAAACUCAAAGGACUUGGCGGUGCUUCAUAUCCAUCUAGAGGAGCCUGUUCUAUAAUCGAUAAACCCCGAUAAACCUCACCAACCCUUGCCAACU